rnacentral:lncRNA from 1 species
UCAUAAUCACAAACAGCCAUGAUUGAGAUUCUGUGUGGUAGAGAAGAAAAAGAACUGUGCGCUGUCUUCCUGACAGCUGGCGCUUGUGGGCUUACCUGCCUGACGUCAGCACGGGUCUCGAGAGGCCUCAUUCAGAGCUGUCUCAGUCCAACCCUGCAUGACUUGACCCAUCUUUAGCAUCUUUCCUAUGCUGAACUAUUAUUGCCUUGUGUUAGAGUUAGGAGUUAGGACUAGGAACUAAUCCAUGGAGCACGUCCCCCCUAACUGGGGCAUACGCUGGAACUAACAGAAGCAAAAGAAAGAACUGAAAUUAGGACACAAAAGAAUGAUAAGGUUACAGAGUAACAGGCGGAAGACUUGAGUUUCUUAGUACAGAUUCUUAUUUUAAUCCUCUCAAUCCCUGACCUCUCCAGCAACUAAAAAGGAAACCUUUUUUUUUUUUUUGUCAAGGCCUCUUUGAACCUGACUGGGACUAGAGUUCAGCCUCAUUCCCCUUUGGGGUUCAUCAGUCUUGAAAAACUGUUUCCUUAUCACCAACCCUCACACACACACACACACCCACACACCAACAAGGCCAUGUAAUCAUUUACAACAUUUAAUUGUGACAAUUAAAGUUGCGUUGAGCAGCAAAUACAGCUCAAAGUCCAACAUCUGCCUAGCAGCUAGAGGCCCUGGCUUACGUCCCUAGUACUGGGAGUGGAAGGGUCAAUUGUGAACACUGAAAUAAAAGGUUGUCUUCGUGAGACAGUAUGUGACACUUUUAUUAAUUUUACUUAAUUGGUUUAAGAAAAAAAAUCUAAAUUUCUCACUGCAAAAAUGCACUUCUACAUUUUCCAAGAAGGUCAAGAGUUCUAGGCUUUGGUUAUUCUCAAACAGCCACCUCAAAUUCUGUCUUCAAAGUAGAGAUUUAGAAUCCAGACAUCUUUUAUUUUAGACAAACAAGCAAAACUAUGUUGCAAGAUGGAGAGUCGCAAUGUUUCUUUGCUGCAGAUCAAAGGUUCACAAAUAUCUUCAAUUUCCAGGUACAGGGAGGUACCUUGAUAGAUUCCCGCCCUGAGGCUUGCAUUGCUGCAGCGGGGCAGCGGGGCUUGGAUUGCUUUCCCUUCUAAAAUUUUAAGCUUUGGUGUCAGUGUUUUUUGGGUUUUAGUUUUGGAGGGUUGUUUUUGGUUUUGGUUUGGUUUUGCCGGGGUUGGGGAGGGGAGGGGAGGGGUGGUGAUUUUUGUUUUCAAAAAGACUCAAUUUUGUAAGUUUUAUUUUGCCAAACAUGUGCAUACAUAUUCAAAGCAAUGAAACUAUUUCAAGCCAUAAAGCCGCAGGGGUGGAGCCCUUUCCACAAAUUUUAAUGUGUUUGUAUGUAAAUAGCUGUUUGUAUGAAAUAUUUUCAUGGUAGAAUGAAUAUAUUUAAAUGAAGUUGAAUUAUUCCAGUGCUAUUUAAACACAGGACAAAAAUUUUUGGUGAGAAUUAUCUGAGUCUAUUGAGAUAUAAUGCAGAUCAAUUUUCAUUUUUAGAAAUCAAAAAGCCUACAAACCGCUCUGACUGAUGACCACCUCCUGGUGGGGUGGCGUCCGAUGUGAGGUAGGCUUCCCCAGUGCCUCAGCCGCUUUCUGGUGGUAAGUUCGGUGCUAAAGGAGACGUGUUUACCUUUUAGUGAUUCCCGCAGGCCUCUGAGGGGCCUGAGAGCGAAUCGAGGCGUUAGAGACACCGGUGCAGUUAUACGAGCACAAUUAUUUUUGCAGGGCAGCAGAAUCAGAAGCCAGACUUGUAAACCUCGGAGCUGGGUUUCCCGGCUACCUUCACUCGCCACCCCUAACUGCCUAGUCACGAUGUCAGGGAAGCUACCCUCAGUGGAGUUGGGGUCUGGACCCCGGGGUGGGACUUCACAGAGUUACCAAUGCUUUUUGCCUUCUGACCUCCCUCUCCUCGAGGGAGGAGGCGAGCAGCCGCUGGCAGGGGCCAUCCUCAGCACAGUCCUUAUCCAGUCUCAGCUCUGGAAGACUAUGCAUCUAAGCACCCGACUUCAGCCAGAGAGGGAGACUUCCGUGGAUAAUGGAAACCCUUGAUUCCUGUCUGUGAUUUUACACGCAGUUGUUAAAUGUCAUUUUAAUAUGAAGACCAUUCAUGUACCUAAUACCUUCCAACUCUUGAGUUACUGGAAAGAAAAACAAAACAAACAAACAAAAAAUCCUUUACAAAAUGAUAUUUCACUUGAGUGCGUUCCCCAACCCACCUUUGGCCCUGGGUUAUAACAAAACAAUAAUCUGACAAAUUUCACUGUGUACGCUAGCAAUAUGAACACUGAGCCAGUGCCCCCUUACCUAUCUACUUGGUUACUAUAAUUAUUCUUGAUGCUACAGGGGCUAUGUACGUCACACCUGGUGGUUGCAUAAGCGAGUUAUGAAGUUAUGUCCACGAUUCUUGGCUCCUUUCUUCAAAUGUUUUCUUUUUUUUUUCCUCUUGGUUUUUCUAUGUUCUCUUUCUAUCCUACGAGGCAUUUUCUUGGGUUGUGAGGUACGUUUAUGGAGUGGAAGCCAGGGGGUUAUGCUUUCGGCCUUGAUUGUAACCAAAAGUCAACCCAUCACAGUUAAAAAGAAAAAAAAACCAUCUUUGGUCUUUUGUGGAAUUUGAACUAAAUCUAUGAGCCUUAUUCAAUAUAUAAUUCUAUGAUUUUUUUUUUAAUUACGGGAAAUCAAUGGAAGAUGUUUACAUGAGUAAUGUUUGCCCUUACUGUGUUAUGAAUGAAUUUUUUGUAGUGUGUCUGGGCGCAUGUGCAAGAAAGUAGGAAAAAUGUUUCUGAAACAAAACUUGACAAAUAUUUGUAAUGAAAAGUAAACUUAAAGAUUGCUAUAAUUGCGCUAUAGAAACAAUGCAAGUAUUAAACAAAAUAUACAA